GAGAGAGAGAGACCCUAAAGGCUAAAUCGAAGUAUCUAACGGAGUAAUUAAAAUUAUCACUUAGUAGCACUGUAGCAGGCAGCGGCGCUCAGCAGGCAGCUCCUCAGCACUCAGCAGCCAACGACCCAGCGCCCAACGUUCAUCAUCAUCUACCAUCGUUUCAUCAUCAUCAGCAUCACCUCAUCUGCUCAUCGGCCAUCACCACUCAAAUGACUUGUGGUGGAAUAGAGUCUAGCAUUGUUGAUGUGUAGUUGCCAAUAAGCAAGUGUAGAUUGAGGUUGAUUAUGGGCCGCAGCUGUCUGCAUGGAGAGAUUAAGGUUGAAAUGAGGUUGCAGAUUUUUUGUCUGUGUGGAGAGAUGGAUGCUGCUGUGAUUUGUGAAACUCACUGUCAGUAUAUUGAUUUCUACCCGCAGGCCGUAGCAACUAGCAAGUCCAGAACCAAUGAUAAACUGUUAGAAUAGAAAGUUGACUGUCCAAACUUAUUUUGUGGAUUAUGAACUUAUUUUGUCCAAAGUUGAUUGUUCAAAAUAGGAAAAAUAUGAGGCUUUUCCUUUUGUGGUAGCUGUUUUAUGAAUCGUUUUUUUUUCUAUUUCAACAAUUUUGUGGAUUAUGUUUUUCCUUUUGUAUGUUUUACUGUUGAUACUUUUCCUUAGAUGUGUGAUAUAUUGGUCUGCGCAGUUCAUUUCAGGGUGUUUUGUACCUCUUUCUUGUAACUAGUAUGCAUUGUUAAAUUUCAAUGUGUUUUUAUAUCAAGUUGUUGUGUA